ACCGGGAUUAGAUACCCGGGUAGUCGUAGUCGUAGGCGAUACUCGCUAGGUGUCGGGCAACAGUGCGACCGUUUCGGUGCCGUAGGGAAGCCGUGAAGCGAUCCACCUCGGAAGUACGACCGCAAUGCUGAUACUACUUAGAAGUAUUGGCGGNGNAGCACCACAAGGGGUGAAGCUUGCGGUUUAAUUGGAUUCAACGCCGGAAAUCACUA
rnacentral:rRNA from 1 species